UACAGAGGGGGCAAGCGUUGUUCGGAAUUACUGGGCGUAAAGGGCGCGUAGGCGGCCCGCUAAGUCGAACGUGAAAUCCCCGAGCUCAACUCGGGAACUGCGUCCGAUACUGGCGGGCUUGAAUCCGGGAGAGGGAUGCGGAAUUCCAGGUGUAGCGGUGAAAUGCGUAGAUAUCGUGAGGAACACCAGAGGCGAAGGCGGCUACCUGGACAAUUGCUGACGCUCAGGCACGAAAGCGUGGGGAGCAAAAGGG
rnacentral:rRNA from 1 species